rnacentral:rRNA from 1 species
CCUACGGGAGACAGCAGUGGGGGAUAUUGCACAAUGGGGGAAACCCUGAUGCAGCGACGCCGCGUGGGUGAAGAAGCGCCUCGGCGCGUAAAGCCCUGUCAGCAGGGAAGAAAAUGACGGUACCUGAAGAAGAAGCCCCGGCUAACUACGUGCCAGCAGCCGCGGUAAUACGUAGGGGGCAAGCGUUAUCCGGAUUUACUGGGUGGAAAGGGGGCGCAGACGGCGAUGCAAGCCAGGAGUGAAAGCGCGGGGCCCAACCCCGGGACUGCUCUUGGAACUGCGUGGCUAGAGUGCAGGAGGGGCAGGCGGAAUGCCUGGUGUAGCGGUGAAAUGCGUAGAUAUCAGGAGGAACACCGGUGGCGAAGGCGGCCGGCUGGACUGCAACUGACGUUGAGGCCCGAAAGCGUGGGGAGCAAACAGGAUUAGAUACCCCAGUAGUC